rnacentral:lncRNA from 10 species
CAAAGUGCUGGGAUUACAGGCAUGAGCCACCGUGCCCAGCCUCAUUUUUCAAUUUUUCACCAACUUCUGUUCAUGGCUUUUGGUGUUUCAACCUUUUAUCCUUCUGCUUCUUCAGGUCACGCGUGGCAGUCAUUCUUGGCUCUCUGGGCUACAGAAAAACACAAAUGCUUCCUCUUUUUCUUAUCACUGUUACCCACAGGGGAUCUGCAGGCCUUUUUGAUGUUUUCAACAUUAUCUUUACACAACAAAGCAGAGAACAAGCAAAGAAACUGUGAGUAAGCAUGGAGGUCUGGGCACCGUGUGGGGCAUCGUGGGGAACCUGCUGCUGGUGUGUGUGUGGUCUGGAGAGGCGUGUGCCUGUGUAGGGGAAAAAUCUGGGUGUAUGUGGAAAGGUUGUAUUGCAGCUGAAGGAGGCUGGGAGGGUCUUCUGUCCCUGGGAGACACUGAAUAAUCCGUGUUGUGUAUCUGCGUUUCGA